CCUACGGGUGGCAGCAGUCGGGAAUAUUGCGCAAUGGAGGAAACUCUGACGCAGUGACGCCGCGUGCAGGAAGAAGGUUUUCGGAUUGUAAACUGCUUUUGACGGGGAAGAAAAAAGACAGUACCUGUAGAAUAAGCUCCGGCUAACUACGUCCCAGCAGCCGCGGUAAUACGUAGGGAGCGAGCGUUGUCCGGAAUUACUGGGUGUAAAGGGAGCGUAGGCGGGACUGCAAGUUGGGUGUAAAAUCUACCGGCUCAACCGGUAGCCACACUCAAAACUGCAGUUCUUGAGUGAAGUAGAGGCAGGCGGAAUUCCUAGUGUAGCGGUGAAAUGCGUAGAUAUUAGGAGGAACACCAGUGGCGAAGGCGGCCUGCUGGGCUUUUACUGACGCUGAGGCUCGAAAGUGUGGGGAGCAAACAGGAUUAGAUACCCUAGUAGUC
rnacentral:rRNA from 1 species